CACCGCGGUUAAACGAGAGGCCCUAGUUAAUUAUAUCACGGCGUAAAGGGUGGUUAAGAGAAAUAAAACAAUAAAGCCAAAUGGCCCUUUGGCCGUCAUACGCUUCUAGGUGUCCGAAGCCCAACUUCACGAAAGUAGCUUUAGUAAAUUUAUCUGACCCCACGAAAGCUGAGAAA
rnacentral:rRNA from 1 species